UACACAUAUUUAUAUACAUAUAUGUAUAUAUAUAUAUAUAUAUAUAUAUAUAUAUAUAUAUAUAUAUAUAUAUAUAUGUAUAUACAUGUGUUUGUAUACAUAUAUAUGUAUAUAUAGAUAUAUAUGUAUAUAUAUGUCUUUGUGUAUAUAUAUAUAUAUAUAUAUACAUAUAUAUGUAUGUGUAUAUAUAUACACAUAUAUGUAUGUAUAUAUAUAUAUAUAUAUAUAUAUAUAUAGAUAUAUAUGUAUGUAUAUAUAUAGAUACAUAUGUAUGUGUAUAUAUAUACACAUAUAUGUAUGUAUAUAUAUAUAUAUGUAUAUAUAUAUAUACACAUAUAUAUACAUACGUACACACACACACACACACACACACACACACACACAUAUGUACUCACCUCCUCUUCCAUGUCCCUCAGCGAGGCUGACUUCGCCAUGUUUGCUUUUUAAAUUAAUUUUUCGAAACAAAAUGAACAUUUUUUACAUUAUUUACAUUCGACGGAUAUUUGUCCUCAUCUUGUUUGCUGUUAACACAACGUUUCGGCUGAUAUACCCUCCAGCCAUCUUCAGGUGUCUUGGGGAAAUUUCGAACCUGGGUUCUCAUUCCUAAGGUAUUUUUCGAUGUUGUUGUUGCUGUUGUUGUUGUUGUUAUUGUUAUUAUUAUUAAGCAACAACUACCCCAAAAGUAUACUAUCCACUCCAAUUAUGAAGAAGAGAGAGGAUGAAGUCAAACAACAAACAAAAUGAGGACAAAUAUCCGUCGAAUGUAAAUAAUGUAAAUAAUGUACAUAAUUCCUCAUCUCUGAAAUAUAUAGCUGUAAAAUGAAUAUUUUAAAUUAUUUCUCAGAUUUUAGUACCCAAAUGUGCACCAACAACGAAAACAACUAGACCCAUGCAAAGGUGGUGGUUUUGACAAACGUUUUGUAACAAAAUAACCAAUGACCAACUUUUGGAAACAGAAUUAAGAGCGAAACACGAGCGAACAAACACGGGCAUUCCGUCAGAUUGAAUAAUAAUAAUAAUAAUAAUAAUAAUCCGGUGCUCCUUUGGCGUGUGAUCUACAAGGGAGAUUACUUUAGGUUACUUUUUAGUUUACUUUUCAAUUUCUAAAUACCCGUAAGAUGUUGGCUAAAGAUUUUAAAAAUGAGAACAGCAACGAGACGAAGAGUUGCAUUUUUACAAGAAACCAGCACUAAAUUCACAUCAUUUCUUAAGAAAAAGAAACGUGCCACUUUGCUGUGUGACCUACAAUUUAAAAGAAGAUUACUUUAGGUAACGUUUUGGCUUACCUUUUGUUAGGGUUACUUUCCGUGUGAUCUACUUUUGUGGAUGAUCUACGCGCUUAUUUUAAUUAUCAGAUGGUUUUCUUGUUAAAAUAGUAAGAAUUUUGAAAAGAUACAUUUACAAUGCUAAAUAUGUACAAAAUUAUUUAAAAAGUAACCUAAAGUAGUUUCCCUUGUAGAUUACACGCCAAAAGAGAACCAAAAAUCCUUUCUCCUAAAGGCACAAGGUCUGAAAAUUUGGGUAAAGGAGCCAGUCGAUUACAUCGAUCCCAGUGCAUAAGUGGUACUUAUUUCAUCGGCGUCGAAAGGAUGAAAGGCCAGUCAUGUCACUUUUCUUUUUAUACCGACAAUGGGGUUUAACUAUGGAAUGACUCGGUUGUCUUCAGAAUAUCGAUGUCCAUGCAGAUCCCACUGUACUACAUGUCGAUUUUGGUUGCGUUAGCGCUCACAAACUACUUUUAUAGCAUCAAUAAAUUGACUUAGGUCAAUAUCGCUGUCAAUAUCUCUGGUUGUCUUACGGCGGCGUGCUGGUAGAAUCGUUAGCACGCCGGGCAAAAUGCUUAGCAGCAUUUCAUCCGUCUUCAUGUUCUGGGUUCAAAUUCCGCCGAGGUCGACUUAGCCUUUCAUCCUUCGGGAUCGAUAAAAUAAAGUAACAGUUGAACAUUGGGGUCGAUGUAAUCGACUUAUCCCCACCCCUGAACUUGCUGGUCUUGUGCCAAAAUUUGAAAUCAAUAUCUUUGGUUGUCUCGUGCCUUUUUAUUUAUUGUAGCAGAAACCCGUGAGCAUCAAUUCAAACUAUUGCCUUACCUUAUAAUCGGUUUCGAAGACUAAGCAUAGAGUCUCAUAUGUUCUUUCUCAGUCGUUGGAAACAAGAAUAUUCCAUUUAUCAGUUGCAACUUCUUUCGACUGCUUCUUUGAAGGCGUACUGAGCCUCUCUAUUUAAUAGAAAGAGAGUUUAAACUUUUAUUCUAAGAAGAUAAGGGGUCUGAGAGUUUUGUGACAUACGUGUCAUAAUUUCUUUAUUUUGUUCAUGAGAGUCGACUCUAUUCAGAUUUACUAUUCCGCAGGCAAUAUUAGCAUAAGAUUGCUAUUUUUGUGACCGUCUUCAUUGAUGUUUGUCUUUAGUGAAAUUGUUUUUUUUUUCUGCGCUAUGAAUAUAUCUGUGCUUGUUUGAUUAAGUGUUGUCAGUUUUUCUUCCUGCGUGCCAAAUUUGAUUUUUAAGUUCAUAUUCGUGUUUUAAAAAAAUUAGGAGACAUGUUCAAAAUUUUUGAGGCAGACGAAGAAGAAAACAGUUAUACAAAGCUAAUAUUUACAAAAUAUAACAAAAAUGUCCAACAACGAACAAGUGACAGAUAAAUAUUUCAAAAUUUACUACUACUACUACUACUACUACUACUACUACUACUACUACUACUACUACUACUACUACUACUACUACUACUACAACAAUAACAACUACAACAACAACAACAACUACUACUACUACUACUACUACUACUACUACUACUACUACUACUACUACUGCUAAGAAGAAGAAGAAGAAGAAGUAUUAGUAGUAGAAGAACAAUAACAACAACAAACACUAAUCUGACUCUUCCUCAGAAUUAUGUUUGAAUACAUUUGCUUUCUCCUCAAGCACAGCAACAACAAUAACAAUUGGAUAAUGAUGAUGAUGAUGAUGACAACGACGAUGACGAUAAUGAUGAUGAUGAUGAUGACGACGAUGACGAUAAUGAUAAUGAUGAUAAUGAUAACGACGACGACAACGAUGAUGAUGAUAAUGAUGUCGAUGAACAUCAUCAUCGUCACCGCCACAAUCAUAGUCAUUAUCGUUACCACCAUCACCAUCAUCCCAAAGCAUCAACCCCUACCAACAGCAGCAACAAUAAUUUGCUGUAUCAAUAUAUCCUAACAACCUGCCCAUCGAAUAAUUUACAGCUGAAAAGUACACACACACACACACACACACACACACACACACACACAUUAGCAAUCAUCAUUGUUAAACAUUUAGAAGGCUAUUAUAGACUGAUAUACAGUUUAUAUGCAGUCAACAAUUGAUAUUUCGUCACCACAAAAGUCGUAUUCAUAGCUUGUAAAGCAACAAAUAAACCUCAAGAAAUGCCGUAUAUACUUAUUAAUUGUAACUUAUUUGUUGUGACAGCGACUCAAGUUUAUAGAUCAGAGACGGGAGAUAGAUAUGAAAACAAAGCAAAAUGUUACUAAUGCAACAUCGCAACAUUUCAGAGAAAGAGAGAGAAUAAGAGUUAGACAGAGAGAGAGAGAGAGAGAGAGAGAGAGAGAGAGAGAGAGAGAGAGAGAGAGAGAGAGAUUGAAUGAAUGAAUGAAUGACUAGCAGCAUUGAAGUGAGAAAGGGGAAAUAAAAAACAGCUACAUCUCAUGUAUUUUUGAGAAAACUUCAUAAAAGCUGCAGACUUCAUACAUAGUAAAUGUCGUUUGUCUUUGGAGGAAUUUCUGAAUUAGAACCUGUGGGCUUUUAAUUAGUUUUGCUGAAAGAGGUGGCCUGAAGCAAAUAUGAUAUGGAAACGAACCAGUAGAUUAACCGGUUGGAAAGUAGAAAAGAAAAUUAAACCAGCAAAAAGCACUUGGGUUAAAUAAAGACAUAAAGAACUAGUAACAAAUCAUAAAAUAAAUAAUUCCAAAAAAAUCUAACCAAAGAAUGGGUAACUAAAUGCGAAGUUGUUAAUGAAAAAUAUGGCAACGUUCUAACCAAAACAAAUGGAGAAACUGAAAGAUGGAGAGAAGACUGCGAUGAAAUUUACAGUCACAAAACGGUAGUAGAUAGUAACGUGUUAACAUAAUUAAGGAAAGAAAUUUCCUUUAAUAUACAGAAAGAAACACAAAUGAUAUCAGAUGUUGCAUAAGCAUUUACAAUACUAAAAUGUGAUAAAUCACCUGGAACUAUAUAGAACUAUUAAAGUAGAUGAGGUGCUUAUGUCACUGAUGUUUUUUAUGAAAUUUGUGAUGAUGUUUUAUACACUGGAGCAUGGAACUGAAUUAAUUGUUAUAGCACAACAAAGCAAAAAAAAAAAAUAAAAUAAAAAAAAAACACCAUGUGUGAAAACAACGAUACACUUCACUUAAUUAGUUAAUCAAGCAAGGUAUUGCCGUUUUACUGUUUAUUCGAUGUCAGUGCUACAUACAUGCAUGCACGCAUAUAUACAUACAUACAUACAUAGAUACCUAUAUACCUCCACACUCAUAUUGUUCGUAAGUUGCUUUCUAGAUAUACAUUCGGGGCUAAUGCAGCUUCGCACCUCUCCUUGAAAAAUGCAUUUAAAAAAAAAUUCUUUCGGAUUUCUACGUUUUAGAUGUCGGAGAUUACGAAUAUGCAAAAAAAAAUAUUUAAUCCCACCACCUCCAAUUUGAAGUUUUGAUUUUGUUUACUUUAAAGAGAUUGUAGCGAAUUGAUGAAAAUAUGCAAAUCGAAAUCAAAUACAGAUAAAUGCAUUUUUUGAGAAACUUUUUUCGGAUUCCUACGUUUUAGAUGUCGGAGAUUACGAAUAUGCAAAAAAAAAAAAUUCUUUAUAAUUUGCUUUAGUAAUUAUAGGCUUGUUUCCAAGAAGAGAGAAACACUGUUCAACAGAUUUGUAACGUUAAUAUUCUAAUAGAAAAUUACUCAGAACACUUGUGAGUUCUUUACUAAAUAUAUAUUUGAAAAUUAUUUUGACCAUAGGGAACUGUGGACGAGAAAGCAUAAUAUCAGCAUAUCAAUAGUAAAUAUUAUAGAUGUGAACAUGCGAAAUUUCUGAUUUUUAUUUGAGAAUCACCAAGUAACUGGUUUAAAACAACAGAAGAUGCCAGAGAGCAUAUUUAUUCACCAAGAAUUUUCAGUAUGUUUCUAAAAAACAAUAUUACUGUAGUCUUUGUGUCUUCUGAAGGAAAUGAUAGAGUGGGAGAUAAAAAAAAAAGACUAAUAAGAAUAAAGGCAGUAAAGAAAGAAGAGAUGGAAAGAGAGUACCAGAGAGAGCUUUGCAAGGAAACAGUGAAAGAAAACUGAUACAAGUGUAAGAUAUUUAAAAAUGCUGACUAUGUCGUAUUGAAUAAAAAUGAUUUUCUAAUUGAAUCAUGUACAUAGUGUUCAAUAACGAAAGAAAUAUUUUGCUGAAAAAUUAAAAUUGAAAUUUAUAGGCGCAGGAAUGGCUGUGUGGUAAGUAGCUUGCUAACCAACCACAUGGUUCCGGGUUCAGUCCCACUGCGUGGCAUCUUGGGCAUGUGUCUUCUGCUAUAGCCCCGGGCCGACCAAUGCCUUGUGAGUGGAUUUGGUAGACGGAAACUGAAAGAAGCCUGUCGUAUAUAUGUAUAUAUAUAUAUAUAUAUGUAUGUGUAUGUGUGUUUGUGUGUCUGUGUUUGUCCUCCUAGCAUUGCUUGAGAACCGAUGCUGGUGUGUUUACGUCCCCGUCACUUAGCCGUUCGGCAAAAGAGACCGAUAGAAUAAGUACUGGGCUUGCAAAGAAUAAGUCCCGGUGUCGAUUUGCUCGACUAAAGGCGGUGCUCCAGCAUGGCCGCAGUCAAAUGACUGAAACAAGUAAAAGAGUAAAGAGUUUAUAAAUUUAUAGAUAUUGUUGACUUACUUUCUUGUAGUAAAAGUUGCAUACUCAUAACUAAUUAGCAUGCAGAUUAUUUAUUAUAGUACAGAUAUUUUGUUUCAUGGUGUUGUUGCAGAUACUAGCAGAUCACAUUAAUAAAACAUGCUUUGCUAUCAAUAUAUACGAAGUUAAAUAUACUCAUCUCUUACAUAUAGAACUGUAUUAGAUGUACUAUGGAAGAAUAAAUUAUUUUCUAUCAAUAACUAACGUCUUGGGGGACGUGAUUUUAAAUGAAGAAUUUAGGUAAUCAAGUUAAAUUUCACACAACUUUUGCACAGUAUUCAUAAUCCAAUUAUUAUCCGAAGAUCCCAAAACAGUUGCUUGUUGUUUCCAAUCUCAGCGAAUUUAGCAUAAUCACAAGGACAGUAUGGCAGAAGAUAUACCUAGUCAAAUACAACAAGAGUAGAAAAAUACCACAUCAAGAGUUUACCGCUGCCAGAUUAGCCAGUUACUAAUACGUAUUGAUAAUACUGUACUGUUCAUGGUUGGCAAAAAUUUUGAACAUAGUAGACUGUUAAUCGAGUACAAAUUGCAGCUUCAACUUCUAAUUACAAGAUUCUUUAUGAAACUAGCAAUGACAUUCAGUACCCGGAACAGUAUGUCCACUAUAAUAAUCUCAUGGUUCCAGAUAAAACAAAACUUAAACAAAACUCAAGCAAGUAUGAUAUCUGACACACGAGGAAUAGUUUUCUUUGAUGCUAUUAACUGUGUAGCUAAAAAACUCUUGAUCAGCCUAAUUUUGGCAAAAAUUAGUUCACACAGGCUGCUAUUCAGACGUCCUCUGAAAUUACAGCAACUUUGCUCAUACGUGGUAAAAAUGCUCAUUCUGAUUUGAAGCCUUCACUUAACCUUGUACAUUAUAAAAGUUGUGCGUAUAAAAAUUGCGAUCACUUCAACAUCUGACGUGUGGCACAUCAUGCGUCUGAACAGGCAAUGUUGAUUUGAUGGAAAGAAUGAACUCAUGUAUAGCAUAAACAAUCGAUCACUAUAAACAAAUCUUCUGUGCAGGUUGUUCAGUGAGAAAUUGCGGAAUUGUCUUUCUCAGAUUCGGGAGACUAUCAAGAUGUAUAAUACCGGUAAAGAGGAUCUGAAGCAGAUGAAGUUGAACUUAUGAGAUAAACGAGCAAUGUAUCGCAGACUUGCUUUUGAGGCUCUCAGUUGCACCUUGCAACACACGCAGAGGUGGAUUUCAGGUAAACUCUGCCAGUCAUCCCAAAGGUACAUUUCCCAAAGGUACAUUUCAUCAUUCUAACAACAUGAGAGUUGUAGCUUAACAGGGAUAUCUCAGCAACUCACUUUGCAAAUGUUUUAACAUCAUUCGGGGGCAAUGGCCGACUAGCAGCUGGCACUGAGGGUGGAAAUGUCAAAUUAUGAAAAGUAUGAUAGAAAUACUAAUGAAAAUUUAUCCUAGACCCUCACAGAAUUAUAGAAACUAAGAGUGGAUUUCUGAAGUGCCACCCUAGCUCUAGAAUGUGCAGGGUAUUAACACCACCAUUAUUUAACAGGUAUCAGUCUAAUUCAAAUGAUACAAGUCAGUUCACAGAGUAUAUGAUGUUGAUAAUGCUACCAACUUACCAACAAAAAUUUUCAAAACUGUUCAGCUCACUGGUGUCCUCCCUUAUAAUCUGCAACUGAAAGUAGGAGAACCUAUUUGGAUGCAUCAAAACUUUUUAACGGUGCAAAUUUAAGUACCAAAACACUUUUGCGCCACGUUAUCAAAGCCACCACUAACAUUGGUUGUGCUAAGAGAGAUGCUUUCAUUUCACGCUCUCCCCUCGUCUCAUGAGAUACGCUAUUUUAUUUUAAGCAUCUUUAGUUCCCCAUGUCACUGUUUUUUUACUAUCAACAUCAACUAGUCCUAGGGAUAGAGCCUUAAGGUUGCAGAAUUGAACUGACAAGUCUAUGCUACUGCCAUAAUCAAUUUUGUUACAGGCUUACGUGCUGGAGUAAGCAGACAUUUUUUUCACAGGAGCACCAUCAAACCACUAUUUCUCCUUUUCUUUCUUCGUCACUCAUACACACACUCUCACGCACACUUACAUACUCACUAACUCACUCACCUCCCCGCACACACAAAUUCACAUAUUCACAUAUAUAUUCACACACAUACAAACACACAUACACUCGCUCACGCUCACAUAGUCACACAAGCACUCACAUAUUUAUUAACUCACUCUGUCUCUCUCUUCAUACCUUCUAUUAUACCUCACUAUUAUACCUUCCUCUCCAAGCUGAUCUCUAAGAUAUCAACUCCCUCUCCCACCACCGCACUCACUCUAUUUUUCAGAUCUCCUCCUACUACUCUCGACCUCUCUUCUCCUUCUUACUCUUUAUAUACCAUACAUCUUACCGAUUUUUUAUCUUCACACCUCACCUAUUCUCUCUAACUCCUCUUCUAUUUCUCUCUUAACCUCUCCCUCUACUACCAUAUUUGAUCAGAUGUUCCUCUAACAUACACUCCUCCAUUCUUCCCACCACCAUGCCAUUCCAUCAUUCCUUCUAUUCCGUCUCUUUCCACCUCCCACCCCUUUUCCUUUAUAUAUUUAUAUAUGUAACCGAAACCUUUCACACAAUGUCAUUCUAUUAACCAGAGUUCUUUCUCGACCGCAAACAAUAUUUUCCCGAUAUUCAGUUCUUCCCAUUGACACACCCAUAUUGCAUUGACCAAUCCAACCUCUACCUACUCCAUAACAGAUAUUUUAUUUAUUUAACGACAAUCCUGCUUCUUCCUUCCUCCUCCUCCGUCUUCUACUUCUCCCUUCCUUUCCUUCUCCAAUCUCUUAUUAUUAUUGCCUUUCAUCCUUUUGGGAGAGAUAAAUAAGUACCAGUCAAGUACUGGGGCCGAUGUAAUCGGCUUAUCCCCUCCCCCCGAUAUAGUUGGCAUUGUGCCAAAAUUAUUAUUAUUAUUAUUAUUAUUAUUAUUAUUAUUAUUAUUAUUAUUAUUAUUAUUGUAUGCCCGGGAUUACAUAUUCAGGAUUUAUCACAGAGGAGGAAAUUUCUACAAAGUGAAGAACGAAUUGUCCCUUUUUUUUUUUACCAGAGGUAUAACAAGGUAAGUGACCACUAUAUGAUUAGCUGUUCAAUAUCCUACAGAAUAAACACUAUCUGACUGGUUGUUGUUCCAUCACUCACAUCACUCAUGAUGUCUGUGAUCUGACUACUUACCAAAGAACAAGUACCUCUUAAUUUUUCUAAUAUUUGCAUCUUCACUACGUUUUGGCCGAUUUGACUUUUAACGUCAUCAGGUAUCUUAUUCUAAGGUGCUGAACUUAUCAUCAAGUAUUGAACUGGAUUCGAACUAGGGAUGUUUAUUUUUAAAUCAGGAGAUAAAUUGUGCGUAAUAACACGUUUCCAUUAGGCCACUAAUCCAGUAAUGUCCGGGCUUAUGUAUGGUUGUAUGGUUAAGAAGUUUGCUUCACAUUUACGUGGUUUCGCAUUCAAAUUUCUCUGAUCAAAUUCUACUAUGGGCAAGCACUUUUUACCCUAGCUUAAAGUCUGUUAAAGUCAUUUGGAUGAAACUUGGUAGACGGAAACUGAAAGACCGCCGUAGACACUGUUCCUGUUCUUUUGUGAUAGGCUUAAUUCACUACUUGCUCUAAAACCACCACUUAGUCCUUGAGUCCAUAGAGUGGACCUGUUAAAGUCUUCCAGUUUAUAAAGAGGUGAAGAGUACUGCCCUUUUUCCACUGACUUAGUCAUUAAUACCCCAAACAUUUUACAGAUAUUUUAUAGGGACCUAUAAAAUGAAGUUUGGAAGGACUUUUGAUAACCAAAGCAGAAUAAAGAUAGGGAUGAUACAAAAUAUGGAAAGGAGCAAGAAUUAAAUAAAGUAGCCAUAGGGGAGUUUUGAAUUCUAAUACCAGAAAGCCAGUUUACAAUAAUGAAAGACUUCGGAAAAAAAAUAUGGCUUAGCGAAGAAAGGUCGAUAACAGUAUUUAAAUAAUAGAUGGAAAAUUUUCUUGGCUUUAGUGGAUCAAUGGUAAAAGUUCAAUGGAGUGGAAAUCUAAGGAUCAUCAGGUACCAAUAUCGAUUUCAUCAUAUUAACUAGUAGCGUGCAAGGAUCUUUUAAUGGGUAAUACCAAAACCUUAUUCAAUGGAAAGCAACGAUCUUUCUAUAAUUCCAGUGGUAAGGAAUAUAUAAUUUAAUGAUCGCAUCUAUUUCAACUAAUUAAAAGAGUUAAAUUCUAACUAAUUAAUUACUUAGAAAUUGUGAUGUUCUUUAGUUAAAGUGGAGUUUUGAAUUGUCUUUAUUUCAUGACAUCAUUCCAUUUCGUAGUGUUUUCGAUUUUCAUUUUCAUUAUAUUUACCCUUUCUAUCUUCUCCCCAAAUGUUUGAAUUUUCUACCUGUGAUAGCUUAGAGUUCACCAUCUCGAAAUUCAAAAAUCAAAUCACACAAUUUCUAUCCUUCUCCAGAAGUCUAAAUACAAAUAAAAUACAACCUCCAAUAUUCUCCACAAAAUAGCAGAUAUGUUAAACAUAAGGUAAAAGUUACUAUUUCAUCUAACUUCCAGAAUUAUGUUUCCCACACCGAUCACGUGAAGUCGGUGACAUGCUAUGUUAACUACGUUUGAUAAAAAACUGAAAUAGUUAAUUACUUAAGAAUUUUCUUUUAAUCGACGUGUGUAUAUGUGUGUACGUAUGUAUGUGUACGUGUGUGUAUGUGUGUGUGUGUGUGUGUGUGUGUGUGUGUGUGUGUGUGUGUGUGAGAGAGAGAGAGAGAGAAAGAGAGAGAUUUAAAUUUAAUUUUAGAAUAUUUUCUUUUAUGAACCACGCACUGGGACAAGACGUGUUCAGUGCGGCGUGAUAAAUGUCUCUUACGUAGCGUCACAUCACAAUAGCCAAAAUUAUCAUCAUCAUGGUCGUCGUCGUCAUUGACGUCAUCAUCAUCGUAAUCGAAUUACUUUGUCAGCGUUCUUUUUCCUUUUAAAAAUGUUAUUGCAAAUUAGUGAAGGAAAAACAACCAGUUAUUAUUCUUUUACCUAAAAAUGUUUUUCAGUUUCCUGUGUUCAAAAUAUAGCCAAAGUUGUAGUCAUUUAACUCUAAGCUACUCUGACCGAAUAGACGUAUGAACAAAGUCAUUCCAAUCGUGACCAUGCCGAAGCUUAGGAGCUGUCAAGACUACGUUAUCUACUGUCCUUCACUUUUAUUAAGACGAUGACGUGUGAUUUCAAAUAUAGCUGGCUGUCAUUUCUGGCAGAUACAGUCACCAUUUCGAGACCUCCAUUUUUCAAUCGAUAUAUUGACAGUGGUAAGAAGUUUACUUCCCGACCACAUGGUUCUGGGUUCAGUCCCACUAUGUGGCACCGCGGGCCGACCAAAGCUUUGUGAAUUUAUGUGUGUGUGCGUGCGCGCGUGUCUGUGUGCGUGUGUGUGUCUGUGUUUGUCCCUCUUCACUGCCUGAUAACCGGUGUUGGUCUGUUAACAUACCUGUAACUUAGCGGUUCGGCAGGGAUCGAUAGAAUAAGUACCAGGCUUAACAAAUAAAUAGAUAAAUAAGUACUGGGCUCGAUUCAUUCGACUUAAAAGAUUCAAGGUGGUGCUCCAGCAUAGCUGCAGUUUACUGACUAAAACAAGUAAAUGAGUAACAGCGAGAAGGACAGAAAAGCAGCAACCGUGAUCUUUUUCUUUCUUUACUACCCUCAAGGGGCUAAGCUAAGAGAGGACAAACAAGGACAGACAAACGGAGCAAGUCGAUUACAUCGACCCCAGAGCGUAACUGGUACUUAAUUUAUCGAUCCCGAAAGGAUGAAAGGCAAAGUCGACUUCGGUGGAAUUUGAACUCAGAACGUAACGGCAGACGAAAUACGGCUACGCAUUUCGCCCGGCGUGCUAACGUUUUUGCCAGCUCGCCGCCUUAUCAACCGUGAUCUUUUGCAGUAAAUGUAAGACUAACAAGUGUUUUGGCUGGCCAGUUUAAAUCCCGAAGUUGGUGGGAAGAGUGACUAGGAGGGUAAACAAUAAGGGGAAUUAGAGUUUGUGGCAAGGAGGAGGGAUAAAUGGUGGCGUGAAGGGUCACUAGAAGAAUGACUAGAAGAGUGGCUUGAAGUAGCUGGAAGGGUGACUAAAAGGGUGAGGAGGGAGAUGGCGAGAAGGAGGGAUAGAAAGUGCGAGAAUGGUAGUGAGAAUGGUAACGAAGUGGGUGACUAGAAGAAUAUGUGUCUGAAAGGCUGUCGAGGGAGACGGCGAGUGCGAGAAUGGUGGUGAGGGUGGCAAGAAGGAUGCAGAAGGUUAUCUAGAAACGGUUGUUACCUUUAUUUUCACUUCUUGCGCACUCACAUUCACACAGGCAUAUAUACACACUCACGCACAAACACACACUAAUCUUAUCUAUCUGUGUAUUGAAACGCAGACUGACAAUGAUAAACUUUCUGAUAGUUUUAUGACAUCAUGAGAGUAAAUAUAAGAGUCUGCCUGCUUUAUCAUGUAAUAGUCAUAUUAAUCCAUGGCCAUGUGCCUGAUAGAAUUAUUUCACUAAAAUGAUUUGCUGCUGACAGCAAAGAGAAGUGGCCUCGUGACUCCAUGAAUAAAGAAGUUAUUAUACUGUCUCGUUAUCUAGGUUGAAGAAAUGACGUCGAGGGUUUUGGAGGAAGUUCUGUGUUCAGAUUUUAGAACCUUAUCUCUCACUCCGGGAUGAGUGUCACUCUAGUGACUCUUCUGUCCGCCGGCUAUCAUUGAUAUUAAUGAUAAGAGUGCUUUAUAGAAAGUUCAAGGUGUUUUGGACCUAUGAUCAACAUCUUAUAAUUCUGUUUGUCAUUGCGUUACUUAGCACGUCGGUAACACUUCAUGUGAUUAGUUGAAGGGAAAGAGAGCAAAAAGAAAAGGAAGAGAGGAAAAGAAUAAAAGGCACAGAGAGAGAGAGAGAGAGAGAGAGAAAGAAAAAAAAGGAGAGAAAAGAAGCGUCCAAAACGUGAGGUAGGGCGAACGUAAUAAUUUUAACGGAGGGCUGAUGUUCUGAUGGAGAGGUUAAAGAAAGGCACAGAGAGAAAGAGAGAGGUGGGGAGAGGUGAUGAUGAUGAUGGUGGUGGUGUGGUGGAAAUGGAAGUGGCGGAUGAGCGACUAUGUUUCCUUACAGACACAACAUAGGCUACGCUUUCAGGUUUUUUGGAUAAAGUUUUCAGAAAUGACCCAAUAGGUUUACCACUUGGAGUUAGUAGCCCGCGCUCUUAACCAGUACGCCAUAUGCCCGUGGUUAGUUUAAUCGAUUCGAAGCAGUGACCUGAACAACAACAACAACAUCGAAAGAUUUCGAACCCAGGUCCGAAAUUUCCCCAAGACAUCUGAAGAAGGCUGGAGGAUAUAUCAGCCGAAAUGUUGUGUUAACAACAAACAAGAUGAGGACAAAUAUCCGUCGAGUGUAAAUAAUGUAAAUAAUGAUCAUAAUAUAGUUAUUAAAGAAGCUGAUAAAGGGAAUCCUCAUGGAUUCAGAACAAUGCAUAAACACUACCCAAGCUCUCCUUCGAGACAAUACCUAUUAUAAAACAAUUAACAAUUACAGUCAAUCUAAAAUAAUGACAAAGCUCACUACCCUCUUCCAACAAUUCCAACAAGCUUUAAGCUAUAUGGUGAGAGAUUCUAGCAGUUCAAGUUCAUUUGUUAAAGUAAGGAAGAUUUAGUUAGGAAGAAAAUAAAAGAAUAAAAAUACAAAGCAUCUAACAUGAAUCGGGUGUAGGAGUGGCUGUGUGGUAAGGAGCUUGCUUACCAACCACAUGGUUCCGGGUUCAAUCCCACUGCGUGGCACCUUGGGUAAGAGUCUUCUGCUAUAGCCUCGGGCCGACCAAAGCCUUGUGAGUGGAUUUGGUAGACGGAAAUUGAAAGAAGCCCGUCGUACACACACACACACUGCUGUUCUCACCUUCACUGAUAUAAGUCACCCUCUCUCCAUUACUACCUCAGACUUAUACUUUUGCAACCUUCUCAUUUUAUUAUAUAAUUCACCCAUCGCCUCUGGAGGGUACAUUAUAGAUUUUUUAUUGAAAUCCAAUUUGCCUUUUAUUGAACUGGAUAUUAGUGUCACAUGUGUGCAAAGUUUCCUGAAUAUUGGUUUGGUGGUUUAGACACUAAGUAGAUAACAGAUAGGCGGGCAGACAGACAGAUAUUGUCAUGUGUGUGUGUGUGUGUGUGUGUGUGUGUGUAUACGACGGGCUUCUUUCAGUUUCUGUCUACCAAAUCCACUCACAAUGCUUUAUAUGGCCCGAGGCUAUAGUAGAAGACACCCAAGAUUCCACGUUGUAGGACUGAACCUGGAGCCAUGUGGUUGGGAAGUAAGCUUUUUACCACACUGUCACGUCUGCGCCUAUGAUACACACACACACACACACACUAAAGAAUUUAAACAUAAAACAUCUGAGUAUUUUUAAUUUUAUUUUCAUUCGCACAAAUGUUUUACUUCUCAACUUUUCUACUUCACAAAGCCUUUCUAUAUCCUUGCGAACUUAAAAAAAAAUACUCUAACAUUUAAAAUAUAUAAUAUAUAUAUAUAUAUAUAUAUAUAUAUAACACUAUGCGAUAUGACUUCAAGUUCUGUACCUUGGUCUGGCCAGUGCAUACCAAACAAUUUCAGUCAAAGUCAAACAAAAUGGCAAACAGAGAAGAUGCUCAAGCCUCAGCUUCUUACUGAGAUUUAUGACACACAGAAUACAAACUUUUAGAAGUCAUUACUGACAAGAUCGUAAUCAUCAGCUUAUAAAAGUUCCCCAAUGAGUGAAGUAAAAAUAUUCGUUUUGAACUUCAGUCUGAUCAGAUUAAAAACAUUCCCUGUUGUCCGAUAUUUUAUGUAAAUACCCUCUACAGAGUUUUGAAAAACGUGUGACAACACAACAGCAAAAUAUAUUGCAAAGAGUACGGGUGCAUCAAGGUGUCCUUGCUUCACUCCAUUUUCCACGGCAAAAGAUUCAGAGAGCCUACCACCAAAAUUAACUCUAGCUUUCAUAUCUUUCUGGGUAACCUAUUUUCCUUAGAAUUGGCCACAGAGCAUUUCAAUAAAGAGUAUCGAAUGCUUUGCUCAAAUCAACAAAGCAAUAUAGAGCAAGAUUCUUUUCAAUGCAUUUCUCUUGCAAUUUUCUGACAGUAAAGAUACAAUCAGCAGUGCCCUUGGAGGAGCGAAAACCACACUGAGACUCAGACGCCAUAUUUGAAACUAUGAAGGUAUUUAAACGUUCUAAUAAAAUGCGGGCAAGUACCUUUCCAACCACAGACAAAAGCGAAAUCCCACGAAAAUUACCACACAGAUCCUUUGGCACCGAUUUAUUCAAGGAAAUUAAAAGGGCAUCAAUUCAGUCUUGAGGCACUUUCUCAGUUCUCCAACAAUGACAAGUUAAUAUUUUUAAAAAUUCAAACAUUUUGUCACCCCCAUAUUUCAAGACUUCUGCACAGAUUCCACCAGACCCUGGAGAUUUAUUGUUAUACAGCUUAUUCACCGCUAAAUAAAUGUCAUUCAGAGUUGGUUCAAAUGCUCCAGUGAGAACAGCAAAUGACUGACACUGCUUCUAUUCACAAACGCUGGGUAGGACAGUUUUCUGCACUUUUUCAUAGACCAUCAUCCGCUGAAGCUUACAGAAAACCGAAAAGAAAAGUGCAGACUAUAAUUGGAAGAUGUUCUUGUCAGUCAUUCUGAAUCAGGUCUGCAAUCUCUUGUAUUUGCAUUUGACUCAGCUUGUAAUGAUUUUGGCUUGACUAUCAACUUGAAAAAAGAGAAAAUGUUAAAAACAGUUGUAAUGUAUAACCCUGCAUGUGGUGAUGUUUGUAAACCCACUAAAAUUUUUGUUAAGGGUAAAUUAUUUGAGGUUGUCGAUUCGUUCAUCUACCUUGGAAGCUCUGUACAAAAUGAUGGAAAUCUAGAUACAGAAAUAUAUCUGUGAAUUCAAAGUGCAGUACAAGCAUUUGGUGGCUUGGAGUCACGCGUUUGGCGCCAGCGACAUAUAAAUAACAAUACAAAGCUAGCUCUUUACAAAUCAUUUGUUUUACCAUCCCUGUUGUAUUCCUGUGAAACAUGGACAUGUUAUGAAAGACAUUUAAAACUUUUAGAAAAAUUUCACCAAAAAUGCCUUCAUCGCAUUUUAAACAUUAAGUGGAUUUUUUUUUACUCCAAACACUGGUGUCCUUGCAUCUGCAGGCAUCACCUGAAAUAAAGCUAUGAUUUUGAGGAACCAAAUGAGAUGGUGUAGCCAUAUUGUUGGAACGGCGGAUGAACGCACAUCCAAACAACUGUUUUAUGGUGAGCUUGAGAGGGGAAAUGCCAUCGGCGUAAACAUAAAAAAAGGUUUAAAGACGACAUAAGGACUACUAUGGAGUCACUUGGAAUGGAUGCAGAGGACAUAGAAACCCUUGCUUCGGUUCGAGCUGGAUGGCAAACAAAAGUGUGGAAUGGGGUGAAAGCGUUUGAAGAGGCCAGGAUAACGCAUGCAAGACUCAGGAGAGAUUUAAGGAACAGUAUUACGAUCGAGAAGGUGAAUCACAAUGCCAUUGUUUGUGUGUACAGUUUGCGACAGACUAUGCCUUUCUUUUGUGAACCCAUGGAAAACGAACCUUCACCAACUAUUCUGCCUAUAUGUCUGUGCACACCUUUUAAUGCAAUGUAUGUCAUAAGGUCUGCAAAUCUAACAGAGACCUCAAAAGACAUUUUAAGACCCACAAAAGAUCAAAAUUUAUCUGCAGCUCUUGGUGGUCGAAAUCGGAUAUGCAAUCUAUGUGGGUGUCUUUUCAAAAUAUUGUCUUGUUUAAAAAACGAGAUCAGAUACCAUGAUUGUUCUAAAAUGUAGGUACAGGAGGUGGUCAAACUCUGCAUAAGGUGUAGACAACCAUCAUAUAUAUAUAUAUAUAUAUAUAUAUAUAUAUAUAUAUAUAUAUACAUACAUAAUAUAAAUAUAUAUACUAGAAAGCUGGUGUAUAUAUAUAUAUAUAUAUAUAUAUAUAUAUAUGUAUGUAUGUAUGUAUGUAUGUAUGUAUGUAUGUAUGUAUGUAUGUAUGUAUGUAUGUAUGUAUACUUCAGGUAUAUAAGAACUGUAAUAAACGAGUGAAGGACGAAUAUAUAGUGCGUGUGUUUAUUUGGCAAAAAAUUCACAACGUAAUAUAUUAUCAGUAUUUUGAUCAUUUAUAGAAUCUAAACAUUGUACUGAAUGAUUAUUAAUAGCAUUAAUUUCACUAUAUAUAUUAUCAGUUCUACAAUUAUUUAUAGAUUUGGAAUUUAGAUAUUCUCCAAUUCUCUGUUUACUUUGUGCUGCAAUAACCUCAACUAAAUUUCUAGUGGUUGAAUACGAAAACUUAACAUUAUUUAAUGUCUAUUAAAUAAUUUCCCAUAUUUACUUGAAGGUGGGAAAUACCUAUCUAGUGCUGCAAAGAAUUUACGAGGGGUAUUAGAAGCUAUUGAAUAUGAAAAUGGAGUAUUAUACCAUAUAAUAUUUGUUGGUCUAUUCUUAUUGUUUCUAUAAACAUUUUUGUCAUUAUUACUUUUUUAAAAAUUGAGUUGUUUCCCAUUAAAAUUUUUAUCCAUAAAUUUGUAGUUAUUAUUAUUAUUAUUGAGUGAGAGAGCAGUCCAUGCCAUCAAAGUGACACUGGGAUAAAAUAUACGAAGCCCAGCAUACCCAUCAUGCUUACACGUCUGAUAAAGGUACAUCAGGCACAUGCAUCACAACCAUAUGUGCACGACAUGGCGAUCCUAUAUCAAGAUGAACAGUGCAUGACCUUGCAGAUGGGACCUAGUUAAAAUUUUCUUCAGAUCGAGUGGUCCAACCCGCUCAAAUGGUCCUUGAAUAGGAGUUGUUUAAGGAUGUUGAAAGAAACACCCAUGUUUGCAGAGGUAAAUUAUCCAAACCCCAGAGAAUUCCUCUCAACACAUAGCUAUGAUGCUCCUCCAUUCUUCUGUUCAUGAUCAAAAACGCAUAUGUCAUUAUCCACCAAAGAACAUGCUCAACUGGUUACGGCCAAACAGCUGACAAGCAAAUCUGUUGUAUUGAGCACAAUAUUUACUGUAGCCCUAUUAUUAUUAUUAUUAUUAUUAUUAUUAUUAUUAUUAUUAUUAUUAUUAUUAUUAUUAUUAUUAUUAUUUAAAUUAUUAUUAUUCUUAUUUAAAUUAUUUAAUAAACAUAGCGCCAAGUUUUCGUAUUAAACCACUAGAAAUUUAGCUGAGAUUAUUGCAGCACAAAAUAGACAGAGAAUCGAAGAAUGUCUAAAUUCUAUAUCUAUAAAUAAUUAUAGAACUGAUAAUAUGUAUAGUGAAAUUAACGUUAUUGAUAAUCAUUCGGCACAAGGUUUAGAUUCAAUAAUUUAUCAAAAUGCUGAUAAUAUAGUUAGUCUUUUACCUUGUAUUAAUAUUAAUUCUAAUAAAAAUUAUUAUUAUAAUCCAACCUUAACACCUAUUUUACAGACAGGUGCUAGUAGAAAUUCUUAUAACUAUGAGGGCAAAUUACAAGUGAACAAAUCCAUGUGUAAUUGUGUAAACAAAACUCUAGGAAAUCAGUGCUUAACGAAGAAUGUAGUAUAUCAGUGUGAAGUAAUAACUAGACAUUGUAAGUAUUGGUAUAUUGUUUCUUCUGCUACUAGUUAGAAAUCUAACUUUUAUAAUCAUUCUAAUUCCUUUAAAUAUAGAAGAAAAUGUAUUUCUACUAAUCUUAGUAGAUGCAUUUGGAAUUUAAAUGAUAAGAAUAUUAAAUAUGACUUAGUUAUGCACCGUAUAAUAUUGGUAAUUCUACUUGUGAUCUUUGCCUAGAAGAAUUAUAUUUUAUAAUUAUUUUAAAAUUAAUUUUAUUGAAUUUUAAUGGGCACCUAACUUUAAGAUGUUGCCAUAAAUUUAGAAAGACAUUCAAAUGCUUCAUUUAUUAAUUAUAAUAAUCUUUUAUUUAAUUAUCAAAUAAUAAGGCUAAUUUCUAUUAAAGUGCUUAAUAUAAUGAGUAGGUAAUUAAUUAUAGCGUUGUAAAGUAACUAAGCUUCGAUUAAGUAGAACGUAGAAUGCUUAUCUAUAAUUUUUAUUCUUUUAAUUAUCUACCGAGAUCAUCAAGAAUUGUAUAUAGUAUUAAUUAUAGUAACUUUUCAAUUAUUAUAUGAUAAUCUUAAUUCCUAUAAAAGGGCGUAAUAUAAAAAUAAAUUGGUACACUUUUACUUGUUUCAGUCAUUUGACUGAGGCUAUGUUGGAGCACCGCCUUUAGUCGAACAAAUCGACCCCAGGACUUAUUCUUUGUAAGCCUAGCACUUAUUCUAUCGGUCUCUUUUGCCGAACCGCUUAGUUACGGGGACGUAAACACACCACCAUCUGUUGUCAAGCGAUGUUGUGGGGGAACAAAUAUAUACACACAUACGCAUACAUAUAUAUACAUAUAUACGACGGGCAUCUUUCAGUUUCCGUCUACCAAAUCCACUUACAAGGCUUUGGUCGGCCCGAGGCUAUAAGUAGAAGACACUUGCCCAAGGUGCCACGCAGUGGGACCGAAUCCGGAAGCAUGUGGUUCGUAAGCUAGCUCCUUACCACACAGCCACUCCUACGCCUGUUUAAUUAUCUUAUCCGUUAUUUUUAGUCAUCAGUUGUUAAGCGUAGUCAUCAAUAAUUGUAUAUAUUAUUAUUAAUUAUAAUUUUUCAAUAUUUAUAUAAGGUUAAUUCCUAUAUAAGAGACUAUUAUAAUGAAUAAACAGAUAUUUCGUUGUUUUUUCUGUAAUUUUUAUUUUUUUAAUUAUCCAGUGAGAUCCUCAGUGGUUGUAUAUGUUGUUUAAUAAAUUAAUUCUUCAGUUAUUAUAAAAAAAAGGUUAAUUCCUAUAGAAGGGUUUAUUAUAUUAAAUGAAUAAAUAUUAUGAUUAUUGCGACGUAAGGUAUGUAAGUAUAUUGCGUAGAAUUAUUAUUUGUCGCUUUUAUUCUUUAGUUAUCUAUUAAGCAUAAUGUAGAAUUCUUGUCAGCAAUUUUUGUUCUUUAGAUAUCCAGCGCCGUCAUCAAUUUUAGUAGAUAAAUAUAUUCGUUUUCUACGUUAGUUUUUUUUUUUAAUGUAGAUUUCAAGUUGUCAAAAAUUAUGGAAUUAGUAUGGUACUUUAUAUUUAAUGACGUCGCUCUUGAUUGAAUGAAUCUCUCUAUAUAUAAAGCUGAAGUUGUCUGUGUAUGGCAUGUUUGGUAGCCUUCAACUAACACUAUCUCCUCCGAGACCCUGCGUCGCAAGUUGACCAAAAUUGAAAAUAUGAUAGAAGAAGGCUUGCUCUUCCUUCCGUAGAAGAAAAAAAAAUCAAAUCGGACCAUGUUAACACCAAAAAUUAUUUACAUCAAAAAGGUGCUUUUUUUCUAUGAAAAUCCCUAUUUUUUUUUACGAUUUUUGACUGCUGUGUCGGCAUUUUUCAGUGUAUUUCAACCAGAAAAAAUGUUUCACUUAAAGAGAAUAACAAGCUACAUAAUGCAAAAUUUUUACUUAUCAAAAAUUCCAAUUCUAAAGGGUCGAAACAGACCCGAGCAACGCCGUUCGAUACUGCUGGUGAAUGUCUAAAGUUAAAUUUGGUUUGGCGUUUCUUUUUGUUAGCAUUUUUUAACAGCUAAAAUUUUUUCAGAUAUUCAGUUAGAAUUUCUACAAUUUGGAUUACCUUAAUAAUGUUGUGUUGACAUAAAUUUUCGUACAUGUGGCUGUGUGGUAAGGAGCUUGCUUACCAACCACAUGGUCAUGGGUUCAGUCCCACUGCGUGGCACCUUGGGCAAGUGUCUUCUACUAUAGCCUCGGGCCGACCAAAGCCUUGUGAGUGGAUUUGGUAGACGGAAACUGGAAGAAGCCCGUCGUAUAUGUAUAUAAAUAUAUAUGUGUGUGUGUGUAUGUUUGUGUGUCUGUGUUUGUUCCCCCAAACUCUGGGUUCGAUUUGCAAGACUAAAGAAAGUUAUCGCUUAAAAUAUUGCAGCAAAGAAUGCCAGUUCUUCUAAUUUAUCACUCUUUACAGUUCUCAUCUUUUAAAUUUAUUGUACAAAACAUUAUCCAGCUAAUUCGUAAGUUUGUCUAAUUAGUCAAUUAGCCAAAUUCUACUUAAAUAAAUAGAGUGUUAUUCAUAAACUAUAAUAAAGCAAGUUUAAUAUUCAAAUUUUAAUUUUAGCUGCAAUAUUUUAAGUAAAAAGUUUCUUAUUCUUUACCUUACUUGUUUGUCCUAUACUUUUACAGGUGUAGUAACUUGUCCUGUACUUUUCCAGGUUUAUAAUCUUAAGAAUAUUACUUUUCCUGCUCACAUUUUUCCAUGUAAUCCAAUAUUUUCCCAGACAUUGCUGCUAUAAGAUAAUUAAUAAUGUGUCAAUUAAUAAUUUAGGAUUUUACCUUAUAAAAUACUGGGUAGGAGGAUACAUUGGCUGCUAUUUUUAGCGUGUUGAGGCUCUUUCAUUGGUUUGAUUGCAUGAUGAGAUUUUUUUACACAUAUAUGUAUAAUAUGCAUAUAUAUCAUUGGCAGAAGUUAGAGAGUUUCCUUACGUCCGUGACGUAGAAAGUUUAAUUUUUUGUGUUUGUAGUAUAGAGUCUGACGAGCUGUCCACAAGGCUUUGGUUUUGUGGAUACGAAACCUUCAGUAACUCUAUGUCCAAAAUUUAAUUUUUUGGUGUAAUAAUUACUGCUCUAUUCUUUAGAGUGUGCUUCUCUUCUGAUAUAUGCUUUAUUGACUAUAUAUAUAUAUAUGUGUGUGUGUGUAUGUCUGUAUUGAUUUUAAUUCUGAGGCUCUUGUUAGACUUUAGCCCUAGUAAGUUCUGAUCAAGCAGAUCUAAGGUAAAAACUAUUCUCGUCUUUUUGUGUAUCAUGGGGUACAUUAUCCAUUGUAUACUUGUGUAUUUGACUCUAAUUACAAAUAUACGUUUAGUUAGCACACAGUCGUGUUCCCAUAUUAUGAGGGUUUUGCUCUGUUUCUCUUCAUAGUCUGUGUCAUAUCUAUGAUUAAAUGUGCAGGUGUGUUUUUCAUAUAAUUUGUGUUUAAAUAUCUAUUAAGGUCGUCCAUUAGUUUCAAAACAUCUUCGUCAAAUUUAUUCUUAAAUUGGUUUAAUUAUUUUGUAUUUAAUUUUCUCAUUUUUUAGAACUGCAGCUCCUGGAACGCACAUUCCACACACUCACACACAUACAUACACAUACACACAACCCCACACACAUACCAUACCCCGCACCAUUCACAAAACAUCACGUAAUACAGACCACGUCACUUUUAUCUAUCGAACGAUACAUAUAUACAUACAUAUUUAUAUAUAGAU
rnacentral:lncRNA from 1 species